rnacentral:rRNA from 1 species
GUGAGGAAUAUUGCGCAAUGGAGGCAACUCUGACGCAGCCAUGCCGCGUGCAGGAAGAAGGCGCUACGCGUUGUAAACUGCUUUUAACCGGGAAGAAACCCCAGGACGUGUCCUGGGUUGACGGUACCGGAGGAAUAAGCACCGGCUAACUUCGUGCCAGCAGCCGCGGUAAUACGAAGGGUGCAAGCGUUAUCCGGAUUCAUUGGGUUUAAAGGGUGCGUAGGCGGAGCGUUAAGUCAGUGGUGAAAUCCUGCAGCUUAACUGUAGACUUGCCAGUGAUACUGGCGCUCUUGAGUGCGCUUGAAGUGGGCGGAAUGUGCCGUGUAGCGGUGAAAUGCUUAGAUAUGGCACAGAACACCAAUUGCGAAGGCAGCUCACUAAGGCGAUACUGACGCUGAGGCACGAAAGCGUGGGGAUCGAACAGGAUUAGAAACCCUGGUAGUCC